rnacentral:rRNA from 1 species
GACGAGGGGUCCAAGCGUUGUUCGGAAUCAUUGGGCGUAAAGCGGGUGUAGGCGGCUCUAUAAGUCAGGAGUGAAAGCCCCGAGCUUAACUUGGGAAGUGCUUUUGAUACUGAAGAUCUUGAGUCCGGGAGAGGUGAGUGGAACUGCGAGUGUAGAGGUGAAAUUCGUAGAUAUUCGCAAGAACACCAGUGGCGAAGGCGGCUCACUGGCCCGGUACUGACGCUGAGACGCGAAAGCGUGGGGAGCGAACAGG